UACGUAGGGUGCAAGCGUUGUCCGGAAUCAUUGGGCGUAAAGAGCGUGUAGGCGGCCCGACCAGUCAGCUGUGAAAGUCAAGGGCUCAACCCUGGAAUGCCGGUGGAUACUGUCGGGCUAGAGUCCGGAAGGGGCGAGUGGAAUUCCUGGUGUAGCGGUGAAAUGCGCAGAUAUCAGGAGGAACACCAAUGGCGAAGGCAGCUCGCUGGGACGGGACUGACGCUGAGACGCGAAAGCGUGGGGAGCAAACAGG
rnacentral:rRNA from 1 species